UCAUUUCAGUCAUCACAUAAUCAAUCAGACAAUUUGCUUUUUCGGAAAGUUUGCUUGCAUUUUUGGAUUGAGUCCAUCCUUUCACAGCAAAAUGGAAAGGAUGGACUCAAUCCGAUCAUGAGAAAGUGUUUCUAUCAAGAUCAUGUCCAAGCACUCUUGCUCGGAAGGUGGGAAGAGCGAUGACCACACUCCUUUGGGAGAAUCAGAAACGUUCAACAAAUAGGUUCAGGAACUUUAAUCUUGAUAAUCUGUAGUGGAUGUCUAGCACCCCUAUAGGAAAUCACAUAGCUAUGCAGAUUGACUUGCGAAUCAAACUCACAAGUUGUCAGCUAACGGUGCAUAGGACCUAUCAUCGUUGUCAGUCCUUCAAAGAUGUAUUUGUCUCUCAAGUUGUUCAAUGGUGCAUAGGACUCUAAGCUGUACCUUCCUCGGUCUCAGUUCAUGUCGCCUUCUUGUGUUACUCCCCUCCCUGAGCUCUCUCAUCCAGCUCUUUCACUUCAGCAGACGUUGCCAAUCACGACGUACAGUAAUCAUGCGAUGGACCAUCUCAAACUGAGAGAACUGGCGAGUCCGACUUCGAGAAGCUCCCCUCCUCUGCAGGCCACAUCUCAAUCUGUGGCUUCGGCUCUCUCCUCUCAGGUUUUGCCUCGCAUACUUGAUGAAAAUCCAUAUGGCAAUCAAGCUGCGCGUAAAAAUUUGACAUUUUCAUGUUUAAAUGAUUUUAUAGUGCUUUCUCUUUGUAUUUUAUGCCUAGCCAGUUCGUGCGGCUGAUUAAAGUUCCGAUUGGUGGUACCAACGGGCUGCAGGUGAUUUUUCUAGCUCGUUAUAGUGAUGAGGAAUUCUUCCGAGUCAGAUGUAAAGGAAGCAAGGAGAUCUAUUUCCCAUACUAUGGACUAUAUGGUAUUGAUAAGAUCUGGCGGGAUGAUGUUUUACCUUGUCGUAUGUAUCUUCGACACUGUUAAUUUCUAACUUGGGAUAAUAGAAUUUUGGGUUUUCACAAAAGAUAUUUGUUCUAAGCUUCAAAUACAAAUUUGAAAUUUCUUUUAUGUUAAUGGAUAUUUAUGUUUCUGGCACCUGAUAGAAUGGAAAAUAUAAUUGCUGGGUUCAUGAUCAGUUUACAUAUGUUCCAUAGAAUUGUCAGUGCAAUAGACAGUUUUGCACAACAAAGAUGUUGACAUGUCGGAGUGCUUUUCUGCACAUUACUUUUGUAUCUAUGUUUCACUGAGUAGGGAUGGUCGGGUAAGCCGUAUCAAAAUGUAAUUCAGUGAGUAAGUUGGGAGUCGGGAGGAGAAAAGUCUUA